AUUGAACGCUGGCGGCAGGCCUAACACAUGCAAGUCGAACGAGUGGCGGACGGGUGAGUAAUGUCUGGGAAACUGCCCGAUGGAGGGGGAUAACUACUGGAAACGGUAGCUAAUACCGCAUACCCUCGGAUGUGCCCAGAUGGGAUUAGCUAGUAGGUGGGGUAAAGGCUAACCUAGGCGACGAUCCCUAGCUGGUCUGAGAGGAUGACCGGCAAGACUGGAACUGAGACACGGUCCAGAAUCCUACGGGAGGCAGAAGUGGGGAAUAUUGCACAAUGGGCGCAAGCCGGAUACAGCCAUGCCGCGUGUAUGAAGAAGGCCUUCGGGUUGUAAAGUACUUUCAGCGAGGAGGCGUUACUCGCAGAAGAAGCACCGGCUAACUCCGUGCCAGCAGCCGCGGUAAUAC
rnacentral:rRNA from 1 species